CAGCCGCCGCGGUAAGACGUAGGGGGCGAGCGUUGUCCGGAAUCAUUGGGCGUAAAGGGCGCGUAGGCGGUGACGUAAGUCAGGCGUGAAAGGCAUCGGCUCAACCGACGCACAUAGCCUGAUACUACGUUGCUAGAGUGCAGGAGAGGAGAGUGGAAUUCCAGGUGUAGCGGUGAAAUGCGUAGAUAUCUGGAAGAACACCAGUGGCGAAGGCGGCUCUCUGGACUGUAACUGACGCUGAGGCGCGAAAGCUGGGGGAGCAAACAGGAUUAGAUACCCUGGUAGUCCCAGCCGUAAACGAUGAACACUAGGUGUAGGGGGUAUCGACCCCUCCUGUGCCGCAGUUAACGCAGUAAGUGUUCCGCCUGGGGAGUACGGCCGCAAGGCUGAAACUCAAAGGAAUUGACGGGGGCCCGCACAAGCGGUGGAGCAUGUGGUUUAAUUCGAUGCAACGCGAAGAACCUUACCAGGGCUUGACAUCCCUCUGACGGGUCUAGAGAUAGGCCUUCCCUUUGGGCAGAGGAGACAGGUGGUGCAUGGCC
rnacentral:rRNA from 1 species